GAUGAAGAACGCAGCGAAAUGCGAUAAGUAGUGUGAAUUGCAGAAUUCAGUGAAUCAUCGAAUCUUUGAACGCACAUUGCGCCCUUUGGUAUUCCAAAGGGCAUGCCUGUUCGAGCGUCAUUUGUACCCUCAAGCUUUGCUUGGUGUUGGGCGUCUUGUCUCUAGCUUUGCUGGAGACUCGCCUUAAAGUAAUUGGCAGCCGGCCUACUGGUUUCGGAGCGCAGCACAAGUCGCACUCUCUAUCAGCAAAGGUCUAGCAUCCAUUAAGCCUUUUUUUCAACUUUUGACCUCGGAUCAGGUAGGGAUACCCGCUGAACUUAAGCAUAUCAAUAAGCGGAG
rnacentral:misc_RNA from 1 species